UCGGUUUUCUCAGUCCGCCAGGCCUGUAAGAAAUAAUUAAUUUAGACUAUUCUUACAGACGAUUCCAAUCAUUCUAACGGUCAAUCUAACGCCACACGUAGACCUUUAGCGAACAUCGACUUCAAUGUUCUAGAAACGGUCAAUAACAACAGGGGGAAAAAUAUUAGGACAACUGCCAUGGAGAGUUAUAAGCGUUUCAUAGAAACAGAAAAUGAUAAGGUACAUCUGGGAUUAGAAUACUACGUUCACCGUGAUAUUUGGGAACGUUUAAAAAGAGAGCAAGACUCCAAAUUCAUCAAAGAUCUGAGUUCAAUUUUUUGGGGUCCUGAAGUAUUAAAAUUAAGGUGUUUAUAUAAAAAAAAAUAAAAGAAGGAAGAGAUUCUGCUGAGCGAAAGGAACUUUCACCCGAAAAAUAUAAAUUAUUAGAAGAUUUGUUAUACAAAAAACUCACAGAAUCGAAAUGCACGGGUGCUCCCAGAGAAGCUCGAAUGAAACUAAUUGGCCAUUUUCUAUCUCAAAAGAUUCGAGAUUGCAGAAAGAAUCUCAAAUUUUAAAAAAAUGUAAAC